GGGCCUCAGCAGCCCAACGGCCCCGAUCGCCGUGACGUCAGCGCGCCGCGUGCGUCAGGGAGGAGGGGGAGAGGAGGGCACGGCCGGAGGAAGGACGUUUGUGGUUGGUGGACUCAGCCCGAGCCGGGAAGUUCGAACGGAAGUCCGAGAGCCAGAGUUGAGAGAGGGCAGCUGUUUGGGCCCAUGCGCAGUAGCUGCUGCUCAGGGUCCGACUUUCGUCAGGCCUGAAGUGACUUUGGGUGUGAAGGAGAUUCCUGGAAAGAAGUCAGAACUUGAAGUUUCUGCAGGAGUGAUUAGCUGAUUAAAACUUCAGUGACUGGGGAGAAAUUAUAAUGUUGUAAGUCCAAAGCCUGAUUAAAAUUUAUCUUGAGCUCUCUUUAGCUCCUUUAAUUAAAAGUCUUUCCUAGCCAACCUGUGUACCUGAACAGCCAGCAUCCUGGUGGACUGAUGAAUGAAUAAUCAUAUGCUGAAGGGAACAGGAAGUACUUGUGUUUAGAAAGAAAAAUAAUUGUAGCAAAUGCUAAAUAUUUCAAAGGAGUCUUAGUAUCUCUGAGAUAAUUGAGGCCUUUGAGAAAUACAAAAGAAGAGCUGAAGAGCAAAGAAACAAGCAGAAGAAAAGAGAACUCCCCAUUCCCCCAGUCAAAGAGUUACAACCCUGCAGGACCUUUUCACAGGAAAGCAGCAGCUCUCUCUCAAUUUGUCUUCAGAGGUAUGGGUGAUGUUUAUGUGCCGUGUCAUAGACUGUAGCUACUUCUUAUGUGUCUCCUGGUGACCAUGAUGUUUUCUCUCAUCUUCUUCAUCUCCACAAAAUCGAUCCUGCUAAUUCCGAUUUCCCUACAGUCAUCUGUACAAAUGGACUUUACCUUCUGGCCUUUUAUUCUUUCUCAGAACCAGACUUCCAAUAUCAAUAAGAGGUCUUACAAGAACAAAGUUACUCUACCCAGUUGAGUAAAGUUCCUCCUUUCUGAUUCUUUGUGAUCUUCAGCAGGCAUCUUGUUGUUAGUGUGCAAACCUCCACAGCGCAGCUGUAAGAGGAAGGUAACACUGCCAGCAUUCAAGUCUUUAUCUGGGUAAAUCCCUUGCUAACCUAUAAACGUUGGUAUGUAAUUAAACUGAUUUUGUAUCAAAUGUA